ensembl:lncRNA novel transcript
CUUGGUGCCAAACUGUUGCCUGCUGUUCACCUGGGGUAUGCUGUCCACCUGGGGCAUAUUGUCCACCUGGGGUCUGGAUGUCAGCCUGGGGCUUGUUGUACACCUGUAUCUUAGAUAUCUAGAUAGGGGUCUGUUUUCUGCUUAGGUGCAGCAGUCCACCUGGUGCUUGAGUGUCAACCUACGGCCUGAUGUCUAUGUUGGACCUAGGGUUCACCUGAGGCCUGAUAUCCACCUGGGGCCUCAAUGUCCAAAUGGAGCCUGAUGCCCAUCUGGGCCCUGGGUGUCUACCUGUGGCAUGGAUGUCCACUGGUACUUUAUGUCCACCAGGGGCCUAAUGUCCACCUAAGACGUGGUGUUCACCUGGGGUCUGAUGUUCAGCUGAAGACUGGAUGUCCACCUGGAGCUGAGGAAUCCACCCAGGGACUGGUGUUGAACUGGGGCCUGAUGACCACCGGGGGACAAGGUAUCCACACCAGGCUUGAUGUCCACCUGUCACCAGAUGUCUACCUCCUGCUUCAGGUGCAGAAAUACAGCGAUUUCCAGUGCCAGCUGUUGAGCCAGUGCCAGCACCAGGGGCAGAUUCCCCUCCAGGGACAGCGCUGGAGCUAGAGGAAGCUCCAGAGCCCUCCUGCCGCUGCCCUGGGACUGCCCAGGACCAGCCCAGUGAGGAGCUGCCUGACUUCAUGGCACCUCCUGUAGAGCCACCGGCCUCAGCCCUGGAGCUGAAAGUGUGGCUGGAGCUAGAGGUGGCAGAGAGGGGUGGCCAGCACAGCUCCAGCCAGCAGCUCCCACACUGCUCCCAGUCCUGGGCACAGUGGAAGCUAUGGAGGCAGAGACCAGGGUUUGCAAUCUGGGCUCCUCUGCCUCACUGGAGAGGGACUUCUCCCAUUCAGCAGAGCAGCAGCCCUGCUGCUGAAGGGCCUGCUGCUACUGCUGCUGGGGGUGUUUGCCUGCCUGCAGGAGGUGCUGGAGAGCAAGAAAAGGAGCCUGUGAGCA